CCUACGGGGGGCAGCAGUGGGGAAUAUUGCACAAUGGGGGAAACCCUGAUGCAGCGACGCCGCGUGAGUGAAGAAGUAUUUCGGUACGUAAAGCUCUAUCAGCAGGGAAGAAAGAAAUGACGGCACCUGACUAAGAAGCACCGGCUAACUACGUGCCAGCAGCCGCGGUAAUACGUAGGGGGCAAGCGUUAUCCGGAUUUACUGGGUGUAACGGGAGCGUAGACGGCGAUGCAAGUCUGAAGUGAAAGGCGGGGGCCCAACCCCCGGACUGCUUUGGAAACUGUAUGGCUGGAGUGCAGGAGAGGUAAGUGGAAUUCCUAGUGUAGCGGUGAAAUGCGUAGAUAUUAGGAGGAACACCAGUGGCGAAGGCGGCUUACUGGACUGUAACUGACGUUGAGGCUCGAAAGCGUGGGGAGCAAACAGGAUUAGAUACCCGAGUAGUC
rnacentral:rRNA from 1 species